rnacentral:rRNA from 1 species
UACGGAGGGGGCUAGCGUUGUUCGGAAUUACUGGGCGUAAAGCGCGCGUAGGCGGCCAUUUAAGUCAGAGGUGAAAGCCCGGUGCUCAACAUCGGAAUUGCCUUUGAGACUGGGUGGCUAGAAUCCAGGAGAGGUGAGUGGAAUUCCGAGUGUAGAGGUGAAAUUCGUAGAUAUUCGGAAGAACACCAGUGGCGAAGGCGGCUCACUGGACUGGUAUUGACGCUGAGGUGCGAAAGCGUGGGGAGCAAAC